rnacentral:rRNA from 1 species
AUUGAACGCUGGCGGCACGCCUAACACAUGCAAGUCGAGCGGCAGCGAGACUAGUAGCAAUACAUAUUGGCGGCGAGCGGCGGACGGGUGAGGAACACGUAGGAACCUACCCUCGAGUGGGGGAUAACCAAGGGAAACUUUGGCUAAUACCGCAUGAGCUCGAGGGAGCAAAGCUGCCGCAAGGUGGCGCUCGAGGAGGGGCCGGCGUCCGAUUAGCUAGUUGGUGAGGUAAGAGCUCACCAAGGCGAUGAUCGGUAACUGGUCUGAGAGGACGACCAGUCACACUGGGACUGAGACACGGCCCAGACUCCUACGGGAGGCAGCAGUGGGGAAUAUUGGACAAUGGGGGCGACCCUGAUCCAGCGAUGCCGCGUGAGUGAAGAAGGCCUUCGGGUCGUAAAGCUCUUUAGGUUGGGAAGAAGGGUGAUGGAGGAAAUGCUAUCACUUUGACGGUACCGACAGAAUAAGCACCGGCAAACUCUGUGCCAGCCGCCGCGGUAAGAC